rnacentral:rRNA from 1 species
GACACGGUCCAAACUCCUACGGGAGGCAGCAGUGAGGAAUAUUGGUCAAUGGGCGCAGGCCUGAACCAGCCAAGUAGCGUGAAGGAUGACUGCCCUAUGGGUUGUAAACUUCUUUUAUAAAGGAAUAAAGUCGGGUAUGUAUACCCGUUUGCAUGUACUUUAUGAAUAAGGAUCGGCUAACUCCGUGCCAGCAGCCGCGGUAAUACGGAGGAUCCGAGCGUUAUCCGGAUUUAUUGGGUUUAAAGGGAGCGUAGAUGGAUGUUUAAGUCAGUUGUGAAAGUUUGCGGCUCAACCGUAAAAUUGCAGUUGAUACUGGAUAUCUUGAGUGCAGUUGAGGCAGGCGGAAUUCGUGGUGUAGCGGUGAAAUGCUUAGAUAUCACGAAGAACUCCGAUUGCGAAGGCAGCCUGCUAAGCUGCAACUGACAUUGAGGCUCGAAAGUGUGGGUAUCAAACAGGAUUAGAUACCCUGGUAGUCCACACGGUAAACGAUGAAUACUCGCUGUUUGCGAUAUACAGCAAGCGGCCAAGCGAAAGCGUUAAGUAUUCCACCUGGGGAGUACGCCGGCAACGGUGAAACUCAAAGGAAUUGACGGGGGCCCGCACAAGCGGAGGAACAUGUGGUUUAAUUCGAUGAUACGCGAGGAACCUUACCCGGGCUUAAAUUGCAGAUGAAUUACGGUGAAAGCCGUAAGCCGCAAGGCAUCUGUGAAGGUGCUGCAUGGUUGUCGUCAGCUCGUGCCGUGAGGUGUCGGCUUAAGUGCCAUAACGAGCGCAACCCUUGUUGUCAGUUACUAACAGGUUCCGCUGAGGACUCUGACAAGACUGCCAUCGUAAGAUGUGAGGAAGGUGGGGAUGACGUCAAAUCAGCACGGCCCUUACGUCCGGGGCUACACACGUGUUACAAUGGGGGGUACAGAGGGCCGCUACCACGCGAGUGGAUGCCAAUCCCAAAAACCUCUCUCAGUUCGGACUGGAGUCUGCAACCCGACUCCACGAAGCUGGAUUCGCUAGUAAUCGCGCAUCAGCCACGGCGCGGUGAAUACGUUCCCGGGCCUUGUACACACCGCCCGUCAAGCCAUGGGAG